rnacentral:rRNA from 1 species
GCGCAGCAGGCGAGAAACUUUACAAUGUGCGAAAGCACGAUAAGGGAACUCUGAGUGCCUCCUAAGGAGGCUGUUCAGGUGUCUAAAAAGCACCUGAAGGAAGGGCUGGGUAAGACCGGUGCCAGCCGCCGCGGUAACACCGGCAGCCCAAGUGGUAGCCACGUUUAUUGGGUCUAAAGCGUCCGCAGCCGGUUGAGUAAGUUCCUUGGGAAAUUUGGCUGCUCAACAGUCAAGCUUCCAGGGAAUACUGCUCGACUUGGGACUGGGAGAGGUCAGAGGUACUCCAGGGGUAGGGUGAAAAUCCAUUAAUCCCUGGGGGACCACCGGUAGCGAAGGCGUCUGACCAGACCAGGUCCGACGGUGAGGGACGAAGGCUAGGGUCGCGAACCGGAUUAGAUACCCCGGUAGU